rnacentral:rRNA from 1 species
UUUGGGCAAUGGGCGCAAGUCUGAUCCAGCCAUGCCGCGUGCGUGAAGACGGCCUUCUGGGUUGUAAACUGCUUUUAUCAGGGAAUAAACCCUUGUUUGUAUACAAGGGUGAUGGGACCGGACCAAUAGACAUCGGCUCGCUCCGUGCCGUGCCCCGCGGCGCUGCAAUACAA